CACAGGUGAGGACCCUCCCACGCCUGGCGCAGCACUUACAGUUUACAGAGCACCUCCCUUCCUGGAGCAGAUGCUUCCACCGCGGGCAGCCAGCACCCGUGUCUCUCAGAGGCUGGCGCCGGGCCUGCGUUUACAGGGAGCUGGAAGUGCAUGACCUCCUGAGGGGAACUCACGUCCUCCAGUCACUGUUUUAGGAACUCUCCUCUGCUGAGCAGAGAAUGACUUGGAGUUGAGCAGGGAGACAGUGAGGCUGCGGCAAUGGUCCAGACAAGAGCUGACGGUAGCCGAUCCCGGGCGUGAUGUGGAGCUGCGGGAAGGAGAUGGACUCAUAAAUUUUCGACUGUGGGGCGUGAGGCGAGAGGAGGAAGCACGGGCGCUCCUGGGCUCCUGGCCUGAACGGGGCGAGGCUUCUAAGUGGGAGCAGCUGUGUCAGGGGCAGUUUUGCGUUUUAAAGGCCUGCUUCUGCCUGGGGCCUCUGUCUCAGCUCCCUGGCCCACUGGACCAGCUGAGACCUUGGUGGGCCAGCCCCUCCUCCCGCCUCUUCCUUUCGGAGAGAGGUUCUGGGAGCAGCUGCCCUCCAGGCCUACUCAGGCUUCAGAGACAACAUUCUGCUUGGACCCUAUAUGGAGGCCAUCAGCACCAGGCUCCUCCCUCCUCCUGGAGCUUUAUUCUCCACUCAUUCAGUCCUUCCAGGCAGCGGGACAUGAGGGAGACAGACCCUCUCAGGACUCCGGCUCUGGGAGCCCAGGCCCCAUGGCAAGCUGCCCCACUGGAGACUCAGCCAGCAGCCAGCACCAGCCACACAGCACACAAGUGAAGAAGCCUUCAGAAGAUUCCAGCCCCAGCCUCUGAGCCAACCCUGCUGACGCCAGCUGGAGUAGAGCUGAGCUGUCUCCACCAGGCCUGCCCAAAUUGCACAUUCACGCACGCAAUAAGUGUCGCUAUUUUAGGUCAUGACGUCGUGGGGUAGUGUGUUGUGCAGCAAGAGAUAACUGGAAUAAUAACCUUGAAUCCCAGCCCUGCCCUUACCAGCUGUGUGGGCUUGGCACAGUUGCUGAACCUCUCUGAGUCUUUGUCUUCAACUGUGGAAUAAAAAUAAGGAUACCCAUUAUGAAGUGUCCUCAGGAGAAAUCCUCGUAACACACAGAAGUGCCAACUCCCUUGUGAAGGGUCGCACAGACAGCGAGCAGACACAUGGAAGCUGGAGCCUGAGGUUUGUGCAAUGCAUAGGCCAGGGGUCUUUGUCCCAGACCCCGAAGCACUCCCUAAAGAGCCAAGCUGGAUUGGCCAAGGAAGGAUGAGGUGGGGUCUGAAGAAAUGGAUCAGUAGGCUGCGGAUUCCGUAGAAAUGGACCCAGAGGCUCAAUGCUUCAGGUCCAAGAUCCUGAGUGUGUCCACUGAAGGGACUGCCUCCUGCAGGCGUGGCCCAGAUGCGGUGCAGGCCCGUCCCACCCCGCGCAGCUCAGGACGUUGACCACUUCUCUUCCGGGGACGGCCGCCUCCGCCGCGGUUGCUCCCUGGACCUUAUAUCACCAGGACUUGGGAAGCAUGAGGCCCACAGACGAUUCUCUCUUUACCUCCCCACUUCUACCUCUCCCCCAAAACCUGCCCCGAAACCCACCAAGUCCUCAGGCCCCUCCGCACCUUCCUCUCUUCAGGCCACAGUUGAGGGGCUGUCUGCUGACCUACCACCUGACUCUGGCAAGACCCUUGGCCGGGCCAAGUCUCAGUUUCCUUACCUGUGCAGAGGGGGAAUGAUGAUGGCUGUGUGCUGAGUUCUCGUGAGGAUUAAAGAUAGUAAUAACGACCCAGAAGAACCUGGGCACGUCUAGGAGAUGCUGGAGGCUGGGGGCGGGGACAACCACAUGAAAAUCCCCUGCAGACGGAGCUUUGCUCCCAGGCCUCCAAGGACUCUCCACCUGCCCUCGCAGCGCCCAGGCAGAUCUCGGCUGGGCUGGUGACGUGGGCCACCACCGGAACCCUUGGCCACCCACAGUGUGGGAUGCUGCCUGUUGCCAGGCAACAGGCCUCAGCUCAGGCCCUGGGCCUCAGGGUCAGCCGCCCACCAGCUGGCCUGCUAUUUCUGGGCUGUGGGGGCUGCCAGUGGCCUCCUAGAUUUCUUUGAGCCUGGGAGGGAGGAGGGGACAGGCUGUACUUUGGGGACUCCGAACAAAGGAAGGCUAGGAUGUUUUGGAAAGAUUGCCCACCCUUCAGCAUCUUAAUUACAUCAACGUGAAAACUGAGGCUCACCCAGGGGAAGGGGCUUUCCCAAAGAGCCCAGCAAGGCCUAGAAGCCCGGCCUCCACAUCCCCACCUGGGGCUUCCAGGGGGAGGGGAGAGAGACAACACGGAGGAGUACAUUGGGACCUCGCGUGCGCCGAGCAGCAGCUAAUAGGACGUUACCCAGGGACGUAGAGAUGCGGCUCCCGGCCCGUCUGCAGAGGCCUGGAGAGGAGCUUGCUCGUCUGCAGCCGAAGGGGAGUGGGACUGAGGUUCCAUCCAGGAUUGGACACUUAAUUUGAUUGCUGCAUUCCUUUAGUGUCUGUUCCAGAAUGAAGAGUGCCCACUGUACCACCCACGGCACUUUUUUUUCUUUCAUGACAUUGACCUUUUUUAGAGACAGCUCAGUUGUCUUGUUGACUGUCUCUCCAUUUGGGCGGAUGUGAUUGUUUCCUCGUGGUUAGAUUUGGGUGGAACAUUCUGGGCAAUAACACUGCAGAGGUGAGGUCGCAUCCUCCCCAGUGCAUUAUGUAAGUAGGGCCCCGUGCCAGUUCGUCCCACCACCAGUGAUGCUAAAUGUGAUCAUUUGAUUAAAGUGGUUCUGACAGAUCUCUCAGUUGUAAAGCUAAUCCUUCUCUUUGUAAACAAUAAUUCAUCUGUGUAAUGAAUUAUGAUGUUUGAGACUGUGUGAAUAUCCUGUUC
ensembl:lncRNA